CUACGUGCCAGCAGCCGCGGUAAUACGUAGGUCCCGAGCGUUGUCCGGAUUUAUUGGGCGUAAAGCGAGCGCAGGCGGUUAGAUAAGUCUGAAGUUAAAGGCUGUGGCUUAACCAUAGUACGCUUUGGAAACUGUUUAACUUGAGUGCAAGAGGGGAGAGUGGAAUUCCAUGUGUAGCGGUGAAAUGCGUAGAUAUUUGUAGGAAUGCCGAUGGGGAAGCCAGCUUACUGGACAGAUACUGACGCUGAAGCGCGAAAGCGUGGGUAGCAAACAGGAUUAGAUACCCUGGUAGUCCACGCCGUAAACGAUGAUUACUAGGUGUUGGGGGUCGAACCUCAGCGCCCAAGCAAACGCGAUAAGUAAUCCGCCUGGGGAGUACGUACGCAAGUAUGAAACUCAAAGGAAUUGACGGGGACCCGCACAAGCGGUGGAGCAUGUGGUUUAAUUCGACGCAACGCGAGGAACCUUACCAGCGUUUGACAUC
rnacentral:rRNA from 1 species